GGCCAGAUGGCCGAGCGGUCUAAGGCGCUGUGUUCAGGUUGUUUCAUCAACUAAGGACGACUUUCGCAGUCUAGUAAUAGGCGUGAGUUCGAAUCUCACUCUGGUCA